GACGAACGCUGGCGGCGUGCUUAACACAUGCAAGUCGAACGGAAAGGCCCUGCUUUUGUGGGGGGCUCGAGUGGCGAACGGGUGAGUAACACGUGAGUAACCUGCCCUUGACUUUGGGAUAACUUCAGGAAACUGGGGCUAAUACCGGAUAGGAGCUCCUGCUGCGUGGUGGGGGUGGGAAAGUUUCGGCGGUUGGGGAUGGACUCGCGGCUUAUCAGCUUGUUGGUGGGGUAGUGGCUUACCAAGGCUUUGACGGGUAGCCGGCCUGAGAGGGUGACCGGCCACAUUGGGACUGAGAUACGGCCCAGACUCCUACGGGAGGCAGCAGUGGGGAAUAUUGCACAAUGGGCGGAAGCCUGAUGCAGCAACGCCGCGUGCGGGAUGACGGCCUUCGGGUUGUAAACCGCUUUCGCCUGUGACGAAGCGUGAGUGACGGUAAUGGGUAAAGAAGCACCGGCUAACUACGUG
rnacentral:rRNA from 1 species